UGGGAGAAUUUGGCACAAUCGUCACGACUGCCAGCUUUGAGUAACAACUUUACCUUGAUCAGCAGCUGGAAAGCAGAGCCGGAGAGGGCAGAGGGAGGAGACAGUGACUAGAACAGUGCUAACAGUGACCAGAGAACCUUCACCAGGAAUAAGCCAUCAAGGCAGAUCCUCAACACUACCACCAUCUCUGAGGAGGAAGCCACUGAAAGGCCUAUAAGCUCAAGCUCAGGGACUUACACCUUGAUGAGUUCUCAGUGAUCACAUCACUGGCACAUUGCUGGUCAAGGAAAGAAGACCCAGGUUGUUGACACAGACAAGAUUGACAUAAACAAAGCAACUGCUAAGACCCCAGUCCAAAGAUUUUGAGAAUGAAGCAAUCCCCAUCUACUAGCAAGGCAGUCAAUUGUCCUGCAGGCAGCAUAAUGAAGUGUUAAGAUCAAAACCAUAUUAACCCACUGUAUUGGAGGAGGUGCAGGACUCGUGCAGCAUGACUGUCUCCAGCUCGAGGUGGCUGACAUGGGAGCUGCGGUGACGGUGGUGGUAGAGAAGGAACACAUUGCCAGGACCGCGGAGAUAAUGUGGGACGAUGGAGGGACAGAAAGGGUGAAGUCUACAGAAAUGGAAAGAUGAACUAGUGAAGCUAUUCCAGUACUAUCAAUUUAAUACUAGUUUAUUCAGUAUUUACGACUUUCCAACUUACUCAGGAAUUUAUUCUGUAAUCCAAAAUGGCAUUGGAGCAUGGCAGAGUUAUACACUUUUGUAUAAGUGACAAUAUUAAAUAAACCUAAAUCUCUAUGUAAACAAUUACCUGUAACACCAAGUAAUGUUCUAAAAUAUCUUGGUCAUAUUUUUCUUUAAAACCUGUUAUGUUCAUCAGCUGACUGAGCACUGUUAUGGGAAAUGUACAGUAUUAUUGUUUAAGAAACAGGUCAUCAGCAUUUUACUCUUCCAAAAGGCAUACUUCUCAGACUCUAUGCAACUAUCCUUUAUAGUUCUUCCAUUCAGAAAUCGUCAGCUUUUUAUUUGGCAUUACCCAUUGAUAAUGACUAUUUUGUUCCGAUCUGGCCAAACGAAAACCAACAGAUGCAUUUGAUAACUAAACUGUUGCCCUCUAAAUAAUUUUCUAAAUUCAUUUAUAUCUGAAUUGAUAUUUGUAGAUGAUUAAAGAGUAAUUGUCCUAUGUGAAUUAUUUUGAUCUUCAGAUAAAUAUGACAGUAAUGUUUAAACAUAUUGACUUUCAAA